UGGAGCAAGUGAGGGAGCCCAGGCUGCCGUGGCCCUGCCCAUCAAAUGCCCAGAAAGAAGGCUUGAGGUAGAAAGGAAUAGGACAGUUCAGUGACGAAGCCCCAGCUCAGCUCACAUUAGACUCUCCAGAGCCCUUCGUGUGCUCUGUCCUACGUCGGCUUGGCACGGGGAAGGCCUCUUGUCUCUGAAAGUAACUGCUUUGUCCAUUCCAACGAAGACCUGCAUCUUGGUGACGGGAAAUGACUGGUUCUGUUUUCUUGCAGUCCAACUUUAGCAAGGAAGAUGGCGCUUAAAGCAGGGGGCGGAUUCCAGGCUGCACCCCGGUAGGAGUCUCUGCCGAGCUCUGCCAAAGGCAAGUGAGCUGAGCAGAGUGACUAAGUCAACCGGAGAGCAGGGCACCAGCCAACCUUCCCCUCCUCGGAGCCCCCACUGCCAGUCCCGAGACCUGUACCUCGGAUCUCAGCAAUGAAAAAUCCUACUUGACUUAAAAGUAUAAAUAAAUGUAUGCUAAACGUUCCCCAGGUGCAAGAAUUACUGUCCAAUGAAGAGCCACUGUCCCUGGACAGGGAAUGACAGAUUCCUGCUGGCAGUGAGUCCCAGUCUUUGGUUAUGACAUCCCAAUAUGCUGCGGUCUGACAGCUGUCAACUGGAAUCAGACCUAAUUUCCCCAGGGACUAUACCUGCCCAGAGGGCUGGCUUACUCUGACCUCUCCAGCUCUGGGGAGGAAUGCGGCCAAUCACUCUGACUUGGGGAACACGCAAAGGCCACUUGAGGUCCAGCAACUUGCCAGGAGCUCUGUUAAUACGGGACGACGCAUCACAGGGUG
rnacentral:lncRNA from 1 species